AUUUAUCUUUAAUACUACACAAUAUGACAAAGUGAAUCUGUAAAACCGGAAGUGGAAAUAUUGGAAUGAGUCAAUGUAGGCGUUCAACAUUAAUUACGUUUUAAAACAUUGAAUAAUUGGUGUGCCGUUGCAAUGAAUCACAAUGGACACAAACUGUAGAAACCAUCAGAAUAUGUAUGGAAUACGAAAAGUAACUUACUGGGAAAAAUACGGCGUUAAACGUUUUCCUUAUCGUGGAAAGCGCCGUUACACACCAUUAAUUUUCCAAGCUUCCGACGGAGGAAUCACAAUAUCAAAUAACGUUUUUGGACUGACAAUUAGACAGUUUGAAGAAAUGUAUAAAGAUUGUUUAGAUAGGAAGAAAAAACAAGAACAGUGGAUACUAAACCUUAGAUAUCCUGACAAAUCUUCAAACGAAUAUUUAGAAUACUUACAGAUUUGUACCGACAGCAAUAAAGAUCACUUACUUUGGCCUGGUAGUCACUUGAAGGAAAAAUACUUAUACGAACACCUAGUAAAUACAGUUGGUACUGAACUAGAUAUCUGUACUAGACAAAGAUUAUUUAUUAUUGAUGAUACUGUAACAAACGGCCGCCACAGGCCGAGUAAUUGUGGAAGGGUCUGUUGACAAUUUUUAGGGCCCAUUAUGCUCUCUUCCGGAAUAUACUGCAUCUUUGAUUUCCUACCUCCGAAGACGAAUGGAUGCCAGGCAAUACACUCAUUAUACUCCAUAUUCGGGUUGUAAAAUAAAGUUCUAACGUAUAUUAUAUUUAUUUACAUAUAUAUAUAUAUAUAUACACAAAUGCAGACGCCUUAGUUAGUAAUAAUUUUCGGGACAUUUAGGUCACUCAGUGUGGUUGGGGAUAACUGCCGCUACAUUACUUUCCCUUAAAAAUACUUCAUCUUAUCAUAAUGAAAUAAAGUAUAUUAACCUGCUUGGCUUUUCUGUUUGGAAUUGGUCUGGUAAUGAUAAACUUUCAAGAAGAUGGUUAAGCUUACUAGUUAGGCUUGAGCUAACAAGUUAUCCGCCAUUUCACUGAGCAGAGCCCUAUUUAUACUCUUUUGAGAUCCCUGAAAGCCAAUCGAAAAUAAGGGAUCUGGCCAGGGAUCCCUGAGGGCCAAUGAGAACCCAGUCAGGACUGACAGGAAAAUGUCCGACAAAAUAGGGGCUUUACAGGAAAACCUGCACAUUAAGAAAUAAUAUACAAAAUGGACAUUAAAAUGCCUGUCCAUUAAUUAUCAAAGGGAUGGGACUUAGUUUUAACUUUUCCUCUAUUAAACUUUAUAGUUAGAAGCUUAAAUAUUUGUAACUAGACUUGUUUCCAAGUUCUAGCAGUGCGUAGUACUAGCAGACGCCGGGAGUACUUAUAUUAAAUUCCAGCGGUAAACUGGUUAACAAUAUAAUUCCUAUAAACUAUUCUUUUACAGGUAUAAACAUUGAAGCUUUAAUAAAAUUAUUAAUACAAUGCCUUAUUUCUUACUCUUUAAGACUACUUUUGAUAUUUAAGGUAUAACGAUACAACGACAAAAAUAUUUCCUACUGCGGUCACAUGAUCAGUAAAAUGGCUCUUCACAGAGAAACGAGAAACAUGGUUUUGACCGAUAGUAAAAUCUUAAAUAUUUCCUUACUUAGACACUUUCAGGACUUAUAAUGGGUUGAAAUAUAAUUUCAGGUAUAUGAAUAUUUGUGCCAGACACCUUACGAUCUUUAAAAAAUAUGUUAUCAAGUUAAACGAGUUUGGUAAACAAGUGGAAGGGGGCACUUGCCAAAAAAAUGGAAAAAGUUAAAAGAUACAAAAAUUACAAUAUGUGCAGUUCAAAUUAAUGUUCAUAAAGUCAAUAAUAUUUUCUGUUGCAGGUUAUCACCAAAUAAAGUUUAUAUCCAUCUGUA